rnacentral:misc_RNA from 1 species
UCUCCGUAGGUGAACCUGCGGAGGGAUCAUUACAGAGUUCAUGCCCUACCGGGUAGAUCUCCCACCCCAUGUUAUUAUUACUUUGUUGCUUUGGCGGGCCGCUAGGCUCCGGCACGACGACCGGCCCCGGCCGGUAAGCGACCGACAUAGGACCCAAAACCCUGUAUAUUGGUGUCGUUUGAGUACUAUAUAAUAGUUAAAACUUUCAACAACGGAUCUCUUGGUUCUG